rnacentral:rRNA from 1 species
AGAACGAACGCUGGCGGCAUGCCUAACACAUGCAAGUCGAACGCCUGUAGCAAUACAGGAGUGGCGCACGGGUGAGUAACGCGUGGGAACCUACCCUGGAGUGGGGGAUAACCGAGGGAAACUUCGGCUAAUACCUCAUACGACCUGAGGGUGAAAGAUUUAUCGCUCUAGGAGGGGCCCGCGUCGGAUUAGCUAGUUGGUGAGGUAACGGCCCACCAAGGCGAUGAUCCGUAGCUGGUCUGAGAGGAUGAUCAGCCACACUGGGACUGAGACACGGCCCAGACUCCUACGGGAGGCAGCAGUGGGAAUAUUGGACAAUGGGGGCAACCCUGAUCCAGCAAUGCCGCGUGAGUGAUGAAGGCCUUAGGGUUGUAAAGCUCUUUCGGCGGGGACGAUGAUGACGGUACCCGCAGAAGAAGCCCCGGCUAACUUCGUGCCAGCAGCCGC